UCACACUGCUUCAUCGCCCUAACAUGAGAUAGAUGGAGCCACUCUUGCUGUUAUCUCAGAGAGGAUGUCUGAGAGGCUCUUUCCGGUCAUUCGCAAACAGAGUCUGUUUCUGACCCAGUUGGAGAAACUUAAAAGCACACCAAUGAGCAGAGAGAACCCUCCAAGAAACAUUGAUAACUCCAGCCAAGCACAGUCCGGUCCAGAUACCUCUUUAGUUUUUCCAACAGUGCUGAGGAUGGCCAUAGACAGAAGAGAUUCUGAUCUGAAGAGUGCAAGUAAAACAAAACUACGGAGUCUACUGAUCCAGUCUCUUUUUGACCAC